UGUGUCUGCUCCGUCGCCGAUCUCGCCUCCGCCGCGAAUCCCCCCAAGCCGCGAGCAGAUUCGCGCCGGUCUCGCGACGAUUUUUGAUGAGAUAAGCCCCCGGCCACCUCGGGGUUCGCCAUGCUGCGGAAGGCGGCCGUCGGGUUCCUCGCCUGCCUCGUGCUCUACCUCGCCUUCUCCUCCUACCUCCGUAGCCAGAGGGCUGCAUAUGUUCAGUUUCCAGCAGUUACUCACAGGGUAUACCUGGACGUGGAAAUUGAUGGCCAAAAUAUAGGUAGAAUUGUCAUUGGUCUUUAUGGGGAAGUGGUGCCAAAAACAGUUGAAAAUUUUAGAGCCCUUUGUACAGGUGAAAAGGGCGAUGGGCCCAAGGGUAAACCUCUUCACUAUAAAGGAACACCAUUUCAUCGAAUCAUCCCAGGUUUCAUGAUUCAGGGUGGUGACAUAGUUAGAGGUGAUGGGAAAGCAAGCGAAUCUAUAUAUGGAGGCACCUUCCCAGAUGAGAAUUUCAGUGUGAAGCAUACACAUCCAGGUGUUGUUGCUAUGGCAAAUUCUGGAACUGAUUCCAAUGGAUCCCAGUUCUACAUAACCACAAUCAAGACAGGCUGGUUGGAUGGGGAGCAUGUAGUCUUUGGCAGGGUGAUUCAGGGAAUGGAUUAUGUCUACGCCAUUGAAGGGGGCGCAGGCACUUACAACGGCAAGCCGAGGAAGAAGGUGCUGAUCACUGACUCUGGUGAGAUACCCAGGGAGAAAUGGGGCGAGGAAGCAGACUGAGUCAUAGCCUAGUGGUUGAAAGGGGUUGAUGUCUUCCCACCCACCCAUGUUCAAGGCAUGCACGCAAGAAGCGGCAGAGAUAGCACCCCCAGCAAGCUGAAAGGAACUACCAACAGGAAAUAAAAACAGCCAUGUUUUACAAGGGAGCAUACGUCCCAGCAAAGGCCAAAGAAAACUAAUGAUCACACGAGGAGCACUAUGGGGAUAACGCAGCUACAGCUACGGGUAAAUUCAAGCACUGCAGUAGAGAAGCUAAUGGUGUUGCUCAUGAGCUAGCUAAGCAUAGUUAUUUGAAUAAAACUUCUAGUUCGUGGUCUGAUGAUCCUACGGACUGGAUGAUUCCAUGUUUGACAAAUGAUGUAAUUAUCAUUUGAUUUAAUAAAGCUAGGCAA